CUCUGUCCCAAGUAAACAGGAAAAGGAAAGCCGAGGGACGCAGCCUGCAGCUGGCACAGGUGGAGCCAAAACGCUGGGCCAUCCCGUUUAUAACACACGUUUCUGUGCAUUUAUGACAUUAUAACACACAUUUCUGUGACUAAAAACAAACCCUGACAGAUCUGUGCAGCUGCUUGCUGUAGGCCCAGCUGGGACACACGGCCUUUCCAACCAGUAUAAUCUCCUCUCUUCCAGGCCCCAGGGAGCACAGAACAGCCGAAAUGAAGCCUACUCCAACUGCUCAAUCCAUGUCUGGAUCUGCCCCCUGGGCUGAGGACAAGGACGGGCCUCGGCACCCAGGCCUGUGCUGACCCGGCUCCGGCAGCAGCGGUGCAGGAACAGGAAACCAUUUUUCUCCUCUUCAAGGUUUUGGUGUAAUUUGAGAACCAAGCCCCAUGCAGAUCGGAACACGUUGGUAAUGUCUGGAAAGUAAUUAUGGCAUAUAUUAUUAUUUUAAUAUUUACUAAGUGCUGACAGUACAAUGCCUUUAUUAAAACUUUGGGGGAGGGUGAAAUACGCACCACAAAGCAUGGCGGGAUGAGGGUAGUCGUCUGAAAUUGCUCAUUUAUAUUUCAAUUUUACAGUCACUUUCCUGUGACCUACUUUUAAUCAUACAUUGUUUUCUUUGCGGCUUAAAUCAUGUAAGGUGGUUAAUGAUUUUAAUUUAAAGUUCUCUGAGGAAGAAUGUAAAUAAUACUUCUGCCUAGUGGAGGCAGGCUGUGAACUUCUUAUUGAGAAGCAAUUUAUCACUGUAUUGAAGAGCAAUGGAAGAGGUUUAACUUCGCCAGAAGCUGGAAGUCUUUCUUUUCACUUGUUCUGACCAUGUAAGAGCAAUAUGCCAAGGGUUAUCAGGAGAGCUCUGUGUUAAAAAAUAAAUUGAUGAGACUGGAUUA